rnacentral:misc_RNA from 1 species
UACUGAAGGCCGGCUAAACCCAUUGAGAACUCUCAUUCGGCCCCCAAAAGAGCUGGAAACAAUACAACUAUCUUCUCUCAGAUCUAAAUUUAAUCGCCAUUAGCUAUGGCGAUUAGAGCUUUUCUUCUCUGUAUAAUAUUGUUUUCAUCGUCUUACACGUCUUUCGCUCUCUAUGAAGAUCAAGUUGGACUCAUGGACUGGCAUCAACAGUAUAUUGGAAAAGUGAAGAAGGCAGUGUUUCAAACACAGAAAGCUGGUAGGAAGCGUGUUGUGGUAUCUACUGAAGAGAAUGCAAUCGCUGCUCUCGAUCUUCGUCACGGCGAGAUUUUUUGGAGGCAGAUUUUGGGAGUCAAUGAUGUCAUUGAUGAAAUCGAUAUCGCCUUGGGGAAAUACGUUGUCACCCUAUCAUCGGGAGGAAGUGUCCUAAGAGCUUGGAACCUACCUGAUGGCCAGAUGGUGUGGGAGUCAUUCCUUCUUGGAUCAAAGCCCUCUAGAUCAUUGUUGUUGACUCCAACAAACUUCGGAGCUGACAAGGACAAUGUUAUUCUGGCCUAUGGCAAUGGUUGCCUGCAUGCUGUUUCAAGCAUUGAUGGUGACAUCCUCUGGAAGAAAGAGUUAGCAGAGAACAGCAUUGACGUUCAACAUUUGGUUCAUCCUGAAGAAAGUGACACAAUAUAUGCUUUAGGAAUUGGUGAGGCAUCCCAGUUUGAAGCAUAUGUAAUCAAUGUUCGAAAUGGGGAGCUGCUGAAGCACAGUAGCAAGGGGUUUGCUGGUGGAUUUUCUGGUGAUUUGUCAUUGCCUACAAGUGACAAAGUAGUCGUGCUUGAUUCAUCAAAGUCAA